UUGUCCCUGAUAUCACAUGUAUUGAAACAAGAAGACCUUCAAGAUAGAUCAAUUUCAAUCUUAGAGUCGAAGGAAAAGCUGUUCAGAGUCUUUGUUAAUGUUAUUUUAUCCAAGAAGUUGUUCGAUUGAUCAAGAAUCAAGAAUUAAAUCUCAGCACGUUCAUGAUCCGGCAGGUUGAGGUGUUCACUAUCCACCUGUGGUUUCAGUCACCAAAAUGUCAAGAAGAUAAUUAAAUAGAUCAGGGAAGAUGAGGGCAAAAAUCAUAUUAGUUUUGGGCCAUCUAACAAUGUAAUAGUAAUUUUUUGCAUCCUAAAAUUUUUUCCUAUUAUUUUAAUAUUAAAAACUACAGUGAGCUUCAACAAUGUCAAUAUUUGUUUGUCAAAGGUUAGUAAAUUUGUAUUGUGUUUGGUCACUUUGUGAGAAAAUAUGAUGAUUAUUUUA